rnacentral:rRNA from 1 species
UGGACGGGUGAGUAACGCGUGGGCAACCUGCCCUUAUCUGGGGGAUAACAGUUGGAAACGACUGAUAAUACCGCAUAAUAUGGUUUGAAGGCAUCUUCUUUCCAUCAAAGAUUUAUCGGAUAAGGAUGGGCCCGCGUCUGAUUAGCUUGUUGGUGAGGUAACGGCUCACCAAGGCGACGAUCAGUAGCCGACCUGAGAGGGUGAUCGGCCACAUUGGAACUGAGACACGGUCCAAACUCCUACGGGAGGCAGCAG